GCGCUGCUGUAACGUCCGACCACCUCCAUUUUCACGCACGAUGUUUAAGCUCCUGGCUCUGACCCUGUUGGUGUGCUCGGUGUUCGGAGUUCCCUCCGUCCGCAGGCAGGCCGGGCCCAUCUCGCUGCCGGACUCCAACAUCGGGAUACUUCGAGACGCAGGCCUCCCCCUCCUUCAAGAUGAAAUCAUGACCGCUGGAAACUCCCUCGUUCAUUUCGCAAAAGAGGUGAACGAGACGCAGGCUGCAUGUGCCACUACCAUCGAGACUUCCCUUCAAGGCGCCUGUAAGGCCUGUAUAGAGACCAAGUGUCAGGACAAGGCCGAGAGCUGCAGUCCUGGUCUGUGGGCUUUCCUCCUUCAACAGGUGGACAAUUUCUUCGCCUCCCAAGUCGACCAGCUCCUCGGGGCCUUCGACGUGGCCGCUGGCCUAUCUGACCUCGUGGUCGAUGCCUUCCAUCUCGAUGAAGUUGGCACCCUCUUCUUAGACACGGGAGCUGACAUCCUGGGCACCAUGGGCACGGUCGCUAACGUGUUCGGGGAGGUUGCCGGCACCACCUGGCAGGUUGGCACGGGCAUCUGGGACGGCGUUACGGACGUAGCCGGUUCGCUUGGCGAGGCGGUGUUAGGCGUGGGCGGUAGUAUCCUGGGCGGAAUCGGAGACGUUGGCGGAGCUCUCAUCGACGGUGCCCUCGGCACCAUCGGAGGCGCUAUUCAGGGCCUGGGAGACCUUUUUGGCGGCCUUUUCGGUCGUCAGCAGGUGAGGAAUGCCAUUCUGCAGUACCACGUCAAGCGCCAGGUGCGCGCUGCACCAACUUGUGAUCAGCUCCAGAACGAGGGUGGCAACGCCUGUCUCAUGUACGCAUCGACCUGCGGCAACAUUCUCACCUUUGACACCACCCACGCUAUAUAACAUAGUGCUGCUGUAACGUUCGACCACCUCCAUCUUCGCGCACGAUGUUUAAGCUCCUGGCUCUGACCCUGUUGGUGUGCUCGGUGUUCGGAGUUCCCUCCGUCCGCAGGCAGGCCGGGCUCAUCGUGCUGCCGGCCUCCAACAUCGCGCAACUUCGAGACGCUGGCCUCCCCCUCCUUCAAGAUGAAAUCAUGAGCGCUGGAAAUUCGCUCGUUCAAUUCGCAAAGGAGGUGAACGAGACGCAGGCUGCAUGCGCCGCUACCAUCGAGAUUUACCUUCAAGGCGACUGUAAGGUCUGUAUAGAGACCAACUGUCAGGACAAGGCCGACAGCUGCAGUCCUGGUCUGUGGGCUUUCCUCCUUCAGCAGGUGGACAAUUUCUUUUCCCUCCAAGUCGACCAGCUCCUCACCGCCUUCAACGUUGAUGGCCUGCCUGGCCUCGUGAACGAUGUCUUCCACCUCGAUGAAGUUGGCACCCUCUUCGUAGACGUGGGAACAGACGUCCUGGACACAUUGGGCUCGGUCGUUAACGUGUUCGGGGAGGUUGCCGACAGCGCCGUGCAGGCUGGUACGGGCAUCUGGGACGGCAUUACGGACAUUGCCGGUUCAUUUGGCGAGGCGGUGGUAGACGUGGGCGGUGAUAUCCUGGGCGGACUCGGAGACCUUGGCGAAUCUGUCGUCGGUGGUGUCGUCGGCGGUAUCGUCGACGGAAUCGGAGGCGCUAUUCAGGGCUUCGGGGACCUGCUUGGCGGUCUUUUCGGUCGUCAGCAGGUGAGGAAUGCCAUUCUGCAGUACCACGUCAAGCGCCAGGUGCGCUCUGCACCAACUUGUGAUCAGCUCCAGAACGAGGGUGGCAACGCCUGUCUCAUGUACGCGUCGACCUGCGGCAACAUCUGCGACACAAAGUGGCUGGAGCAAGAGUACUGUACCGAGUACCAGACUGCCCUGUCUCACUACCAAAACGCCCUACAGGACUACUACUGGGUAACCACCAUACCUCCACAGAACCAGAACUACGUCAUCAACCAGGUGCUGGUUGACGGAAGUUCCCUUGACGCGAAUGCUGGUGGUUACACCAGCACCACGGUCAUCGUCACACUGUUCGGGGAGACCUACACCUUCCAGCUGGACAACCCGCUCACCAUGUUCGACAUGACCCAAGCCGGAAGGGAGAUCGCUCAGAAGGCGUUGGAUCACUACAAGGCUCAGCACCCUGCCCCCACCACCAAGAAGUUCUAAUCAAAACAGGGUAAAACAAUUGGAGAUGAUACCAAUUAUCGAUCCCCACCCAAUAAACUUUGGAAAAUAAUUGAAA